UUUACUUUGGCAGAAAUUAUGCGUUAAAUUUAGAAUUUAGUUAUAUAGGAUUAUCUAUAAGUAAAG
rnacentral:tRNA from 1 species